AGCUCCAAUAGCGUAUACAUAAGUUGUUGCAGUUAAAAAGCUCGUAGUUGAACUUCUGAUUGGGCACAGUCGCGGCUUCAGCCAGGCUGCUGUUCAGUCAUCCGUCUGCAACCUUCAACGGCCUUCACUGGUACGGGAAGGUGAGUAGACAAUUUACCUUGAAAAAAUUAGAGUGUUUCAGGCAGGUUCUCGCCGGAAUA
rnacentral:rRNA from 1 species